AUUGAACGCUUGCGGCCGGCCUAACACAUGCUAGUCGAGCGGAGCGGCAGCCGCGUGCGUAAUGCCUAGGAAUCUGCCUGGUCGUUGUGGAUAUCGUCCGGAAACGGGCUCUAAUCCCGCAUGCUAUCCGCUGAUCCUCGGUCGGAUUAGCUAGUUGGUGGGGUAAAGGCCUACCAAGGCGACGAUCCGUACCUGGUCUGAGAGGAUGAGCAGUCACAGUGGAACGGAGACACGGUCCAGACUCCUACGGGAGGCAGCAGUGGGGAAUAUUGGACAAUGGGCGAAAGCCUGAUCCAGCCAUGCCGCGUGUGUGAAGAAGGUCUUCGGAUUGUAAAGCACUUUAAGUUGGGAGGCGUUACCAACAGAAUAAGCACCGGCUAACUUCGUGCCAGCAGCCGCGGUAAUAC
rnacentral:rRNA from 1 species